UGGGGAAUAUUGCACAAUGGGCGCAAGCCUGAUGCAGCCAUGCCGCGUGUGUGAAGAAGGCCUUCGGGUUGUAAAGCACUUUCAGCGGGGAGGAAGGCGGUGAGGUUAAUAACCUCAUCGAUUGACGUUACCCGCAGAAGAAGCACCGGCUAACUCCGUGCCAGCAGCCGCGGUAAUACGGAGGGUGCAAGCGUUAAUCGGAAUUACUGGGCGUAAAGCGCACGCAGGCGGUCUGUCAAGUCGGAUGUGAAAUCCCCGGGCUCAACCUGGGAACUGCAUGCGAAACUGGCAGGCUAGAGUCUUGUAGAGGGGGGUAGAAUUCCAGGUGUAGCGGUGAAAUGCGUAGAGAUCUGGAGGAAUACCGGUGGCGAAGGCGGCCCCCUGGACAAAGACUGACGCUCAGGUGCGAAAGCGUGGGGAGCAAACAGG
rnacentral:rRNA from 1 species